AGCAUGGUCUUAGCUUGCUAAGGCCGAUGGCGACCGGCGCACGGGUGAGUAACACGUAUCCAACCUGCCGUCUACUCUUGGACAGCCUUCUGAAAGGAAGAUUAAUACAAGAUGGCAUCAUGAGUCCGCAUGUUCACAUGAUUAAAGGUAUUCCGGUAGACGAUGGGGAUGCGUUCCAUUAGAUAGUAGGCGGGGUAACGGCCCACCUAGUCUUCGAUGGAUAGGGGUUCUGAGAGGAAGGUCCCCCACAUUGGAACUGAGACACGGUCCAAACUCCUACGGGAGGCAGCAGUGAGGAAUAUUGGUCAAUGGGCGAGAGCCUGAACCAGCCAAGUAGCGUGAAGGAUGACUGCCCUAUGGGUUGUAAACUUCUUUUAUAAAGGAAUAAAGUCGGGUAUGCAUACCCGUUUGCAUGUACUUUAUGAAUAAGGAUCGGCUAACUCCGUGCCAGCAGCCGCGGUAAUACGGAGGAUCCGAGCGUUAUCCGGAUUUAUUGGGUUUAAAGGGAGCGUAGAUGGAUGUUUAAGUCAGUUGUGAAAGUUUGCGGCUCAACCGUAAAAUUGCAGUUGAUACUGGAUAUCUUG
rnacentral:rRNA from 1 species